GGAGCAUGUGGUUUAAUUCGAAGCAACGCGAAGAACCUUACCAGGUCUUGACAUCUAGUGCCAACGUAAGAGAUUAGGCGUUCCCUUCGCGGACACUAAGACAGGUGGUGCAUGGCUGUCGUCAGCUCGUGUCGUGAGAUGUUGGGUUAAGUCCCGCAACGAGCGCAACCCUUAUUAUUAGUUGCCAGCAUUAAGUUGGGCACUGUAAUGAGACUGCCGGUGACAAACCGGAGGAAGGUGGGGAUGACGUCAAGUCAUCAUGCCCCUUAUGACCUGGGCUACACACGUGCUACAAUGGGCAGUACAACGAGGAGCGAACUUGUGAAGGCAAGCGAAUCUCUGAAAGCUGUUCUCAGUUCGGACUGUAGGCUGCAACUCGCCUACACGAAGCUGGAAUCGCUAGUAAUCGCGGAUCAGCACGCCGCGGUGAAUACGUUCCCGGGCCUUGUACACACCGCCCGUCACACCAUGAGAGUUUGUAACACCCAAAGCCGGCCGGAUAACCUAGUUUACUAGGAGUCAGCCGUCUAAGGUGGGACAAAUGAU
rnacentral:rRNA from 1 species